rnacentral:rRNA from 1 species
UGGAUCCAGACUUUGAUUCUGGCUCAGGAUGAACGCUAGCUACAGGCUUAACACAUGCAAGUCGAGGGGAAACGACAUCGAAAGCUUGCUUUUGAUGGGCGUCGACCGGCGCACGGGUGAGUAACGCGUAUCCAACCUGCCCACCACUUGGGGAUAACCUUGCGAAAGUAAGACUAAUACCCAAUGACGUCUCUAGAAGACAUCUGAAAGGGAUUAAAGAUUUAUCGGUGAUGGAUGGGGAUGCGUCUGAUUAGCUUGUUGGCGGGGUAACGGCCCACCAAGGCUACGAUCAGUAGGGGUUCUGAGAGGAAGGUCCCCCACAUUGGAACUGAGACACGGUCCAAACUCCUACGGGAGGCAGCAGUGAGGAAUAUUGGUCAAUGGACGAGAGUCUGAACCAGCCAAGUAGCGUGCAGGAUGACGGCCCUAUGGGUUGUAAACUGCUUUUAUAAGGGAAUAAAGUGAGUCUCGUGAGGCUUUUUGCAUGUACCUUAUGAAUAAGGACCGGCUAAUUCCGUGCCAGCAGCCGCGGUAAUACGGAAGGUCCGGGCGUUAUCCGGAUUUAUUGGGUUUAAAGGGAGCGUAGGCCGGAGAUUAAGCGUGUUGUGAAAUGUAGAUGCUCAACAUCUGCACUGCAGCGCGAACUGGUUUCCUUGAGUACGCACAAAGUGGGCGGAAUUCGUGGUGUAGCGGUGAAAUGCUUAGAUAUCACGAAGAACUCCGAUUGCGAAGGCAGCUCACUGGAGCGCAACUGACGCUGAAGCUCGAAAGUGCGGGUAUCGAACAGGAUUAGAUACCCUGGUAGUCCGCACGGUAAACGAUGGAUGCCCGCUGUUGGUCUGAAUAGGUCAGCGGCCAAGCGAAAGCAUUAAGCAUCCCACCUGGGGAGUACGCCGGCAACGGUGCAACUCA